AACGAACGCUGGCGGCAUGCCUAACACAUGCAAGUCGAACGAAACCUUCGGGUCUAGUGGCGCACGGGUGCGUAACGCGUGGGAACCUGCCCUUAGGUUCGGAAUAACUCCCCGAAAGGGGUGCUAAUACCGGAUAAUGUCUUCGGACCAAAGAUUUAUCGCGUUUGGAUGGGCCCGCGUUGGAUUAGCUAGUUGGUAGGGUAAAAGCCUACCAAGGCGACGAUCCAUAGCUGGUCUGGGAGGGUGAUCAGCCACACUGGGACUGAGACACGGCCCAGAAUCCUACGGGAGGCAGCAGUGGGGAAUAUUGGAGAAUGGGCGAAAGCCUGAUCCAGCAAUGCCGGGUGAGUGAUGAAGGGCUUAGGGUUGUAAAGCUCUUUUACCCGGGAUGAUAAUGACAGUACCGGGAGAAUAAGCUCCGGCUAACUACGUG
rnacentral:rRNA from 1 species